rnacentral:rRNA from 1 species
UACGUAGGGUCCGAGCGUUGUCCGGAAUUAUUGGGCGUAAAGAGCUCGUAGGCGGUUUGUUGCGUCGGCUGUGAAAUCCCAAGGCUCAACCUCGGGUCUGCAGUCGAUACGAGCAAACUAGAGUGUUGCAGGGGAGACUGGAAUUCCUGGUGUAGCGGUGAAAUGCGCAGAUAUCAGGAGGAACACCGAUGGCGAAGGCAGGUCUCUGGGCCACUACUGACGCUGAGAAGCGAAAGCAUGGGGAGCGAACAGG